rnacentral:rRNA from 1 species
AGCGAACGCUGGCGGCAGGCCUAACACAUGCAAGUCGAACGAACCUUCCGGGGUUGGUGGCGGAUGGGGGGGCAAACGGGUGGAUAAUGCCUUUAGGUCCGGCAUAACUCAGGGAAACUUGUGCUAAUACCGAAUGUGACCUCCGGGGGGAAGAUUUAUCGCCUUUAGAGGGGCCGGGGUCUGAUUAGCUAGUUGGUUGAGGUAAUGGCUCACCAAGGCGGCGGUGGGGAACUGGUUUGAGAGGGGGAUCCGGCACAUCGGGACUGAGACACAGCCCAAACUCCUACGGAAGGCAGGAGUGGGUAAUCCUGCGCAAUGGGGGAUAGCCUGACGCAGCCAUGCCGGGUGAAUGAUGAAGGUCGUAGGAUUGUAAAAUUCUUUCACCCGGGACGAUAUUGACGGUACCCGGAGAAGAAGCCCCGGCUAACUUCGUG